AAUCUUCAACCUACAAGCUUUUGUGGUUUGUAGGCUUGGACUUGGAGGCUUGUCGGCCGAUAUUGGUCGGCUCCUCUUAAAUGCAUUAGCUUGGUUCCUUGCGGAUCGGCUUUCGGUGUGAUAAUAUCUACGCCGCGACCGGUGAAGCGUUUGACGAGCUUCUAACCGUCUUAUGGACAGCUUUAUGAC
rnacentral:misc_RNA from 1 species